UGUCUCAGUUGGUUUGUGUCCCUCCACACCAUUCCAGGGCUGCCCUUUGCAGAGCAGAAAAUUGGAGUUCCUGGUGAACAUCUGCAUUUUCCAACUGGAGAAGCAAGGACUGUCCAACAGAACAGCUGCCCUGCCUUUGAGCCCAUCUGUCUGAAGAGCUGGAAUUAGAGAACUUCUGUUCUCUUGACCUCCUGGUGAAGGCAACAAAGACCACUGAGGAGUUUGUCUGCAGUGGAACCUGCUGAUGCAUUCUUUCUGCCAUCCUACAGAAGCAGAGCCUGCCCUGUACACUGCAGUUCGAGCCAGAUCUGCAGCACACAAAGAAGGGAAGAAAGGCAAGGACAGGAGAGCUUUGCUCAGGAACUUCUGUCCAAGAUGCACCACCCAAUCUUGGAGGUGUCCAAGAUGCGCCACCCAAUCUUUCAUUCACGGCAAACAAACCCCCAGACCUGCAGGGGGAGGAGGAAUUGGCAGCUGGAAAAGCUGCCUGGAGGUCAGCAACGAGGACUGGCAAUUUUUUGCCCUCUCAUCCACCGCUGGAGCCUGUGCAGGAGGCUUUGGCAGGAGGAAAGCUCCUUCCCCUGGCGGAGCUGGAAGGCGCGGUUGGCAAAGCGCGGCAAGAAGGGAGCAGCACAUCUCUGCAGAGCCAUCAGCAGAGAGCUCACAGGGCCAGCUUUGUGGGGAAAGGAGAGGAGAAACAGCACUGGAAAAGAGAGGGAAAACAGCACUGGAAAAGAGAGGGAAAACAGCAUUGGAAAAGAGGAAGAACAAAAGUUGAAAGCGUUGAGUUUGAGUACCGGGGGUUUUCAGCUCACUUAAGUUACACCCUGUGCAAAACACACAAGAGGAGCUGGUUUAAAGCAGAUUUCCUCCAUCAAGUGGAAGUUUAAACUCCUCAGCUGGGCAGUGAGAAUGUCAUGGGCAUGACUGUCCCAUUCCAGAUAAAUCAGGAUCGGGGGUAGCAGCAAUGGGUGGAACCCUGGCCCAGGCUCAGGCCAGAACAAACACCUUUCCUGAAAAGGAAAAGGUUUCACUCCUGCAAAUCAGGAACUCUUUCAGGGUAAAUGGGAUGAGACAAGCACUGAGAUUCCUGUGCAUUUUCAGAGAAACAGUGACUUGUAGAAACACUCUGCACUCCCUGUGCCCUAUUUCUUGCCUGCCUUUAAAACUGUGGAUCCCAAGAACACAGAGGGAGCUCAGCAGAGCAGAGGCAGAGGCUGCCUGUGCCAGAAUUUGGCCCACAACACGAGAUUUCCAUUCUCAUCUCCUGUGGUGGAGAGGAAGAUUCCUUAACUCACCAUAAAACACUCCCAAGAUUGGAUUCAUCAGCUCUUGCCAGGCCACAAAUUACUGCAGAUGAAUAAUAGAUGCUCCCCACUCCUGGCUUUGCCCCUCCUGCCUCAGCCUGGCCCUGCUUCCCAGUGGCUGCUGAUGAAAAGCAAACAGCCACCAAGGUGCAAGGAGCUCACCAGCAGGCUGCAGAGGAGCCAGAGUGAUCUCCUGGAUGUCUGUGGUGUCUGAGUGUGCAGCUAGGGCCCUGCCAGCGUGGUGUUGGGUAGGUCUCCAUCACAAGAUGCCUUUGACACCUCUGAUCAGCUGGGAGAAUUCUUUUAUUAAGUCUAAUUACUACAAGUGUUCCCCACCAAAGCCCCACAAUCUUGUUAAUUCAAUAAAACAUCUUUCUGGAUGAGCACAGAUCUAUUCACAGUCACUAUAAAGAAGCAGUGAAGGUAUUAUAAAAGUACAGAUAAAAGUGGAUAAAAGGCACAGAGAAAGUCACUUCCUUUGCUUGCAGUUUGAUCAUUUUGAAAGCCUAGAAAAAGAUUUCAGGUGGCCUAGAUGCUGAGAAAUCUGGGGAAUCUUGGAGUCUUUUGAAGAAUCUUCAACCUUUUGAUUUUGAUGCCAAUGUGUAUUUUCUUCUUAUUGGUCAUUAUUAUUUUAGGAGAAUGUUGGAGACCUGUUACAGCUGGAGUUGUGAGUUAUUGCAAGGUUAGAGCAACAUGCAUAUUCUGGAUAUUUAAUGGAGAACCAAAAAGAUGACUUAAAUUACAGGGCUUCUUGUGAGUUCUUGUCUAUCAACCCAGAAAAUAAUUUCAACCUGUCAGGGGAAAAUGAAAACUGGAGUCCUACUCAACAAGGUGCAAAAUUGUUGCUUAGUGUAAUAGUAAAUAAGCUUAUUUUGCACUGUUAUUCAGGAUGACUGAUUUGCACUGCUAUUUAGGAUGAUUGGUUUCAGCGCAAAUGAAAUAUUUUUCAAUUUCAGAAAAAAACCAAUCCAAGUAUAUUUUAGGUCCUUUAUGCAGAUAAAAUAUCUGGGUGAAUAGAUGGGUGAGGGAGACUUCCAUUGAACUUGUUCCUGGGAAAACAAUUUUCUAACAGCAAAGGCAGAUUUCACAGACUCAGUUAUGGAUUCCUGGGGUUGUUUCCAGGGCAGGAAUUUUUUAACUGGAAGAGCAGAUUGCACAGAAACAGGGAGGACUUUUGGUUUUGUUGAGAAUGCCUGAUUGCUGAUAUUUGCAGGGGAGCUCCAGGAGCUCACCCCUGACGUGCUCUCCUUUUCUUUGCACCAAGACACAAAACUCUGGGAGCUUGGGAAGGCAGGACAGUCCUCAGCUGCCAGGAGGAGCAGAGGAUUGUCCAGUUAGCUGACAGAAAUUCCAACAGGCUAUUCCACUGCACUAGAGACCCCAGAGGUUCAGCUGAGUGGGAAUGCAGCCCCAGCAGCCUGGUCAAUCCCUGCUUCUGUUCCUGCUGGGUUUUGCCAGGGCUCUGAUUGCUCCAGCAGCAAAGCUGGCCUUGAUGCCCUGGGAGAGGCAGAACAUGGAUUGGCAAAUUCAAUAACAGCCCAAAGUGAGACAGCUCUUCUUUCCCUACCCACACAGCCCUGGCACCUGCAGUGUGUGGGUAGGGAAAGGAUUCCUCUUUCUCCCAGCACAGGGACACUUGGGGUGUCAGCAGAGUGAGCUGUCACAGCUGCCAGCACCCCCAAACUCACAGUGACAAUUUGUGCUCUGCUAACCAAGCCCCCGUGCUUCAGCCCCUGCCAUCCAAACAGAGCUGUCCAUCCUGCCCCUCACAUCACUGUGCAGAGAGCUGGGGUGUGUUUGGUUGUGUGUUCAUUUCGUUUGAGAAUACUCAGGUAGGUCUUUUAGAAAGAGCAGAGCUUAAACGUUUUGAUUUCUUACAGAAGUUUGGAUUUCAUCUCUCAUCUCCAGCCUUACAGUGCCUUCCCAUUAUCAGCACAAAACUUCAAAUAACCAGAAGUGGGGAAGCACCUGGGCUGGAAUUCCCCAGGAAUUUCCAAUGUGCUGAGUGAUUUAGAUCACUGACUCCAGCAGUCUCUUGAGCAAUUACACUGCCCUCAUCCCUGCAGCUCAGAAGUGCCUCUGUUUCUUUCAUGUUUGCUGCUAAUGCCACUGCACAAUGCAAGCAGGCAGUGUGCAGACACACUGCUUUAGCCUCUGCCUCCUCCUGGAGGGAGUUUUUCCCCUGAUCAAAUGAGGAGUUCUGCUGGCUGUGGUGUCUGGGGCUCUCCCUUUGCCCUGUGUGACCUGCAGCACAACCCUGCUCACCAGGGCCUUUGGGGCUGUGCAAGGGAUAAAAGGAUCUGCCAAAGGCAGGCAUGGGCAGCUGGGCAAGGGAAAACACAGGAAGGAAUUCCUCUCUGGUCUUCAAAUCCUGCCUGAGAUUUAUUGCCCCUCUGCAUAAAGCAGGGAUUCCCUGCUGGAGCCUCUGCUGAGGAGCCAGGACCUUGUUUCCCUGCUGUGCAUCUCUGGAGGCACAGACAGAGUUUUCCCUCUGGAUGUGGUGCAAGGAGAAGGCUGAUUUUAGGAAAAAGAGACCACGUCUUUGCUGAUGAAGAGUUUGCUUGCCUGUGCUAAGGAAAACUUCACCAACUGGUUUUCUGUCAAAAAGUUUUCACUUGAACCUAUCCUACUUUGAAUCUAUCCUGUCUAUUCACUUGAAUCUCUUCUCUUUUUCCAGGUAAUUUUAACAUUUCUGGUAAGGAGAACUGAAGGAUUUAUGUUCCCUGCCAGGAGGAAAGGCAUGUGCUGCCACGGCAGGGGCCAGCAGCGAGGCUGAGAGAGCUCUGACCUUUCCUCCUGCCCUCAGCCCUUGGCUCUCCUGCCAACUCAGUUAAGCCCCUUCCUAACUGGAGUGCCCCGAUGGGGGUGUGUGACAGCACGAGUGCUUCCAGCAUUGGUGCCAGAGCUGGAGCUCCCUUUUGCUGCCUCCCAGCCCUUCCAGCUGGGGGUGAUGAGCUCAGGCACAGCUCAGAGGGCAGACCUGGCACAGAGGCAUGAGCAACUGCAGCUGAAUCGGUUUCUAUCUUCCCCUGAUGGCUGUUGAAAUCCACCCAGACUGAAGCAGAAUCAAUUUCCAUCCUGCGACUCAAAAGUGAUUGGGUCUUUGUUGAAUUAAGCUGUGCAAUCCUGGCUCCCCAUGCUCACCUUGAGCCUGCCUGGGAGCUGAACUCUUCAUGACUACCUGAAGGUAAGCCAGGGAGGUGUUCUUGAGAGCCCCAGGACUUUAUUUUACUAAUUUAUUUUACCCAAUUUACUAACUGGGGAGAUGAAGUACCACAAAGCUGCAAUGCCACCAUUUUUGUCAGUCUGCAAUUAAUUUGUUGUUUCCACAGACAAUGGUACCAUAUUUAAUUUUUAGUAGCUCUUUAAUUCUUUGUGACCCUAAGAAUUUUCUCUCUGCUGACAACACCCUGUAGUUUAUUUCUGUUUAUUUCUGAGCAUUGUUCAGUUUCCUGUUUUGUAAUAGAAUCCCAUUAAUUUGUCACUUAUUUAUACAGAACUCAUUACUUAUCUUCAUUCCUCAUCUUUGUGCAGCUCCUGCAAAUAUACUUUUACUGCAUAAUCCUCUCAUUUGAUAUUUCAUUCAACGCUUUUAUGUAACUGACAUGACAUUUUUCCUUUUCCUGCCUCUGAAUCACUGAAGAUUUUCUCAAGUGCUUUUGUCCUAAAUGUACGUUAUGGUCUCCUUAAUUUUGUGCUUAUUAUUGUGUACCCUUCAAUCACAGCUUUAUAGUUCACUUUAUUUUUUGUUUUACUUUCCCAACUGCAGUGCUUUCUGCUUCCACUCCUGAUUUUGACACUAUAAUUACUAUCCAGACCUGACAUUGUGUAUUAGGUUCCUUUACUAGAUUACUUUAAUUCAUUUAAUUCUCAUUUUUAAUUUUGUUUUAUCAGUAGUGUUUUCCUCCUGCUCUGACAGCCGUGCAGCCUACCCUGAUUCUCCCACAUCCCUCCUCAUCCUGCCCUGUUUCUGCUUCCCUUCCCCACUGCCAUCUCCUAGCUGAUACCAUCUUGAUGAAUAAAUUAUCAAGAUUGUUCUACAAGAAAUCUGUCAUGGGGUGUGUGACCUCUUUUAAAUCUGAGCUUUAGCUCUGAAUUCCAGAUCAGCACUGCACGAGCUGCUCUGAUGGAAAUGUGGAGGAAUGGGUGGCUGGCAGUUUCUCCUGAGGCCUUCCUUUGUUCUGCUUUCCCAUCCUUCUAUGAUUUAUCACUUUUAGGACACCCAAAGUGACUUGGAAGAAGAUUUUUGCCCCAUUAUAGCUUGAUUGAAGUCAAGUUCAAACAGCUGUGCUCAAUACACAGCCUUGGGAUACUCAAUAUUGCAUGUUAAGGAAUAAACACACAUGGACAUGUGAAAAAUGUGUGGGUUUUCCUUCCACCUUUAUUCUUUCAUGAUUAACUAAUGAUGGAAGUGCCAAAUGACAAUUGUGAUAAUCACUUCUAGAUUUUAAUUCAGCCAGGACAAGGUAGAACUGGAAAUCUCUGUUAAAACAUUCUCUGAAUAUUUUUUCAAAUGUUCUAGAUUAAGGGAGCAUUUGUAUUGUUUGGCUUUUAUUAACACCUUAAAGGAACUCCUUCAGCAGUGGAACAGAAGUCCCAGUGGUGACACAGUGAACUUUCAAGGUUGUGCAGUCCUGCAACACCCCCAGCCACAGAGAAAACAGCUGGGAGGUGGAGGAGCAGAGAUCCUGCAGAGGGAAGGCUCUCACAGCAGUGUCACCCUGAGCUGUGGCAGCCCCAGGAGAUUUCUUGGGCUGGAGGAUGGUCUUUCCAAGCUCUGUGUCAGAGCCUUGGCAUUGAACUCCCACAAAGUGAUGAGUCACAUGGAGCUGGUUGUUUCCUUGAGAACAGCAAAAGCAAGUGAGAAUUAUCUUUGAAUUCAGGAGCCCAGGAGUGCCACGCAGGAAUCGAAUUUUACAGUGGAGCCCAGGGCACCAAGCUCCCCCUGAUGCCUGCAGAAGGAGUGGCUGUGUGUGGAGACCCAAGCCCUGCCCUGCUGCAGCCCAGCCCAGUCUGAGGACCAGAAAGUGCUUGGCAGCCCAGCCUGGAGGAACCCAGCAAUCCCUCCCACAGCUGGAGCUACCCCGAGCAGCCCCUCUGGAACUGUCAUCAGCAGAGGCUGCCUUGCUUCAAAAGAUUUCACACAGAUUUUCCACUGAGCUCUCAGUAUUUUAUAGCCAGCUUUGAGCAGGUGAGACUGUGAGGAGCAAUUCCCUCUGAUGCUGAGCACAGAUCCUGAGUGAGCACCUCCCACUGCCACAGACAAGCAGAAGAAACCAUUUUCCUUGACCCACUGAGCUCUUCAGACUCCACCAGUGAGACAUGCCUGAACCAAUCAGAUUAUUUUGCUGUUUCCUGCACAUUGUGUGAUGUAUUAUGAACACUUCUCCUCAGUUUGGGGCUAAAAGCUUGACUUGUAUAACCAAGGCCCAUUAUAAAGAAGAAAAGUCAAAAGGAGCACGCAGUGUGCAAGAGUAAAACUGCAGGAGAGUUCUGUUUUCAGGAGGGCUUUUUCCUAUCCAGGCAUGGUGCAAAGUGAUGUUUAUACAGCUGCUGUGAGUGUCUCGUGUGUGUAAUACCCACACCACAACAAUGCACAUUUUGGAAAACAAAGGGGUACCUAUACAGGAUGGAAAUGCACAGGAGAAGUCACCACAAAGGAAACCCAAAAAGACCCGUGGGGACCUACCCUGAUUGGAAUCAAAUGUGAAGCUGUGAGGAGAACUUGCAGCAGGUGCACGUGCCUUGGUUCUGCUCAAGCACUGAAGGGAGCCCAGGGCUACUGAAGCCUUUUCCAGCAUCCUCCAUGGCUCUCCUGGAGGAAUGUGGUACCUCGUGGUGCUCCUUCCUUGGCAAAAAGGAUGGUUUUGGUGUUUCUAUUUGGGCAAACCAGCCCAGCUGCAUCCCAGAGCCCUGCAGCUGUGGGCUCUUUGCUGAGCCCCACUGCAGCUCCUGGCACGUCCUCUGAGCAUCUCUGAGCUAAGGAAGUUAGAGUUCCACAGCCUGGUAAGAGUUUGGGGAAAAACCCACCCAACCCCCUGUGAGUGCUGUUUGACUCUGUGCCUGCUCUGGAUUCCUUACUCUGAGGGGAAAGUUUGGAAACAGAGCAGGAGGUGUGAAUGUUGUACUGAACACAGUGGCUCUCAAAGGUGUCCUGAGCAUCACUAAGGAAUCAGUGCUACCAGGAGGAUCUGAUCAUGCCAUGCUUGGCUGGUUUUCCUACUGCAAAAUCUGUGGUCUUUAUCAAUAUUUGAAGAGUCAAACCAUUCCCCCCAAAUGAUUAAUAGAAUCCCCUAACAUAUAGGGGAAAAGGUUUAAUUUUUUUUUUUUUUAAGUAAUCCAAGAAUAAAUUGUUUUCAUAUAGAUUUUUUUUUCUGAACCUAUAUUGAAGCAUUUGAGUUGUGCUCAUGGAGCUACAUUUAUAAGAAAAAGUAUUAUCUUUUAUUAGAUCACAUAGUAUAUCUUGAAAAAGAAGCAUCUCAGGCUCACAAAUGCUUUCUUGGCCCCUCUGCAGGGAUAUGGAAAAUAAUCUUGCUGGGAGGAAGAGAGCUCAAGGGAGAAUAUAGAUGUCCUGUUAAUCAGGACAUAAAAAAGAAAGGAGAAGCUGUGAUGUGACAGUGACUGGUGGGAGAAAAUCUGGCAAGCAGCAGAGAGAAGAUUGGGAGAUAUGACAAUUUGGGAAAUGUGCUCUUAAUGCAGCUGAGUCUCUGCUGGAGCUUUGAUCCAGUUCUGAGGCAGUGGUGCCCCUUUGGAUGAAGAAGCAGAAGCAGCAUCAUCCAGGAAACACUAAGGGGGAUCAGAGUAGCUUGACCAUCUCCUCAGCCAGAGAAAUCCCAUCUGGAGGUAAGGGGAAGUUCCCAGCUGGCUCCUUUCCACAGUGACCACCCACCCUCUGCUCCCUCUGUUCCACACCUCAGCCGCUGGAGCAAGAGGGUGCAGAGAGAAAUUUUGUGACUUUUGUGCAACUUCCAUUUGACAUCUCAGGCUCUCUAGCAGUAAACACACAUGAAAGUAAAAUACCUGCAAAGAAAACAAGGUUCUCAAGAGCCCCUUGAGAGCACCCAGGGCAAGCCCUGCUCCAGCAGGCUGGGCAGAGCAAUUGCUCAGGAUUGUGCCAUUCAGGUUUUGAGAUUCUGUCUCCCCAGAAUCAUUAAGGAGGUGUUAACACGACUGAACAGCUGCUACAACCAAGGAGCAAUUACUGGUGCAGCAGGACAUGGUUUGCUUAACAAGGCCUUCCCAUUUUUCCUGAUGGCUGCUGGAACAGAGCAGGGAUUUAGGAGGAGCAGAAGAAACAGAAUUGGACUCUUUAAAUAAUUACAAACUCCUUUAUCCCGUGUAGAACCCGAGCAAGUUCUCAGAAGAGAUUUGGGGAAAUGUUGAGUCUGGUGAUGAGCAGGCAGUGCAAAAUCUUCUCCCCAAAUAUCCCAGCUGGAAUUCCACCACGGAGCUCACCCCAAGCACUGCAGCAUUUGGCGUGGAGGAGCAGAUGUCCAAUGCUGCCCCAAAAGCACACGUGGGGCAGCCCUUGCUGUUGGGUUUGUGACUGUGUGGUUCCUGCUUGGGGAGCUGGGAGCUCAUCCCUUCUGCUAUUAGAGAUAACAAAUAGCUCGUAGCACUGAAGUUAAAUUUAGGUCUUUGCAUAUUUAACAACUGUAUGGGUUUAAAUAUGCAAAUAAUAACAAUUAACUUAUUCUGAAUUUACUUCAUCACUGAAAUAUUUGUACUCCAAACCUGGGAUAUUUUACAGGUUCUGAGAUUGACUUUGCAGACAGCUUGUCAGUGAGUGGGGGUUUCUUGCGUGGCCUGGUGAGAUGUUUCUGACAAUCUGUUGCCAGAAUAUCUGUCUAUCAAUAAGUUUAUCAGCAGACUUCAUUUAUUAAAGAGAAAAUUAGCAGCUAGCUUUGUUUUUCUUUUCUGCUUAAGGAGUGGAAUAAAUUGCCAGUUGGCUUGUUUUGUUGUUGUAUUUUCCCCUGUGUGUUUGUGGUGGGUUUUGGGGUUUUUUUCGCUGCAGUAUUUGCAGUUUGAUUUGAAUUACCCGAAGGAAUAAAUUCCAUUUUCAGUGAUGAGGAUUAAAGAGAGCACCAAGGUAUUACUACAGUCAGACAACAUCCACAGUGUCCUACAUUAAGCAUUCCCUGGAAGUAAAGAUUUACAUGUUCCACGUUAAUUAUCCCACCUCUAAUUGUACCCCCUUGCCAUAAUACCCUAAUGAAAGUGCUAUUUAUAUUAAUAAAGCAUUUCAGUCCUCGGAGCAGCCCCUCACACGGGCCCUCACUCUGCACAUGAGCCCUCUGGAAUGACAAAGGAGGAGAAGGAGCUCUACCCCAGGCAGAGAGCAGGGAGUGCCAGGCAAGCCCAGCCCAGCCCCAGGCACACCUGGCUGCAGGCUGAGGGGCAGAUCCCACCCCGGGCAGCCUCUCCUCCUCCCUCGGGGCUGCUCAUUCUCUUUAGCCACUCAGGUACCGUGUAAAACGAGCUCUGCUCCUGAGAAUAUCAGUGACUGGCAUGUGGUAAUGCUCGCAUCAAUGUGAACCUCGGUGCGUUUUCCAUGGCAAUUAAGGAGGCAGCAGAAUUCUGGGACACCCCUCUUUGUCAGAUUCUCGUCCUCUGCACUCUACAGGAGACUUUAAAAAGCCCAGACUGUUGCACUUCGGAGGGAGAAAUUUAUUUUUUUGCCUUUUCUCAGUGGGCUGGCUGUGCUGGUUGACACUUCUCAGUAAUAUUUAAUCACGGUGUGGAGCUGAUGCAGAGUGACUCCUCUGAAGCAUCUUAGGCUGUCUCUUUAAAAUAAUCCUGUCACAUAUUCAUAAACAAAAAUAGAGGUCAGAUAAUGUUACUUGUCAGGUCUGACUAUGCCCUGGCUUUUAUUAGAAAGUGUAGAGAGCCCAAUCUCAAGAAGAGAACAGCACUGCUGCAUUUGAAUUACAUGCUUUUUGUCCUUCUCUUAUUUGAAAAUCCUGCCUGCCUAAUUUGGCAAUAAAUUAAGCACUGCUGUUAAAACCAGAUUCUCAUUGAGACUGAAGGAGCAGUGUCCCUGCUAAGGAGGAGUGGUUGCAGUGAGCAGGUCUGGCUCACCCCUCCUCACCUCAGCUGAGCUCCAGGACUCUGGAUUUGGAUCCCAAGCAGAUUUAGAUUCUUGUCCUGGUGAAGAUCAGCCUCGACAAACAAUGCCAUUUUAGGAUCCUAUGAAAAGAUGGCUUGAUCUGCAUUUUCCCUUUCCCUGCUCCUU